rnacentral:lncRNA from 15 species
CACGGUUACAAUAAUACGAACUUCAUUAUUACAUAAUGUUUGAUCAUUAUUUUAAAUAAAUCAUCUUUACUAUGUUCAUAUAUUAUUUUCCAGUGAAUCCCUCACUUUCAACCUGUAGUUAUCAGCUCAUACUACAGUUUAUAUGACAGUACUUCUAUCUGUUCUGUGCUGCUGUGAAGAAUAAAACCUUCACUCUGCUGCCCUCUAGUGUCUGCAACAACACACUGCUUCAAACUGUACUGCUACUGUCACUACUACUACAACUGUUUCUACUAUUAGUGCCUUCUGACAGGGGUGGACUGGCCAUCUGGCAUACCGGGCAUCGUCCCCCAAUGUGGGCCGUUGACCCAAUGUGGUCCGGUCCGGUCCGGUCCGCUAUGUUUUUUCUUUUCUUUCUCUCUCUAAAUUCCCUCCAGUUGGGCCAAUUGGCUACAGAGGGCUAGCAGUGUGUUGCCAGCAUCGACACAUAUUAUUGGUCUAUGUUUGUCAUUGUCAAUCAAUCAGUGCUGUCAAUCACAACACAAACCAGGGUGGGCGGGACCUCAUGGCAUGGGCCGGAGUGGCGGGACGGGCUGCUGCUGAGCUGAAGAUGGAUAACCGUAAGAAACGCCCGGGUGGCGCUGAAACACUGCGACUUAAAAAGCUGAAGUCUCUGGAGGUGGAAGCUGCUAAAUGUUGGACAUUGACAGACCUAUUUGGUGCCGGGGUCACCACCCCAGCAGGUGCUGCUGCGCCGGGAGACGAGCGAGUGGAGGCAGACAUGGUUGAACACUUGACAUGUGAGAGCCUGAGGAGUUGUUCCCCCUCCGUCCAUUUUCAAGGACUUGCUCUCUCUCUGCCUCCACUUCACCACUUUUUGGCUACUGAGACGUCUCUGAUUGGUUGAGUAUGUCAUGUGUCUUAUAAUGUUAUAUGAAUUCAUACUUGAUUUGUGAUGAUGACUUAAUAAUGUUUCCAUGUCUCUUUUAGGUUGACCACCCUAUAUAUGAGAGCCUAAGGAGUUGUUUUCCCUCUGUCCCCUUUUGAGGACCUGCUUUGUCUCCUCCAUCAUUCACUGGGCCACUUUUGGGUUCCUGAGCUUAUUUCAUGUGGUGAGAGGAAUGCAAUAUGUGUAUGUUUAAAGGUUUAUGUGAAGAAACAUACUAUAUGUGUGAUAAAAUG